rnacentral:rRNA from 1 species
CAGCCGCCGCGGUAAUACGUAGGUGGCAAGCGUUGUCCGGAAUUAUUGGGCCUAAAGCGCUCGUAGCCUGGCCGGUAAGUUCCCCGUGAAAUCGGGUCGCCCAACGAUUCGGCUUGCGGGGAAUACUGUCGGUCUUGGGGCCGGGAGACGCCGAGGGUACUCCGGGGGUAGCGGUGAAAUGCUGUAAUCCUCGGGGGACUACCAGUGGCGAAGGCGCUCGGCGAUAACGGGCCUGACGGUGAGGGGCGAAAGCUGGGGGCGCGAACGGGAUUAGAUACCCCCGUAGUCCCUGUCUCUUAUA